UAGAAGAUAAGUUAUUACUUAAACUGUGGGGCUCAUGACCCCAAAAAGAUUAUUUAUCUCUUCUAA
rnacentral:tRNA from 1 species